rnacentral:lncRNA from 1 species
AGAUCCUGUUCGGAGCCUGAGUUUUGGAGCAGGCUGGAUCCAGAAGAAGUUCCACAGGGAGAAGCCAUGAAAGCUAUGGUCUUUUCAGGUAAAAUUUGAGUUCUUCAAGUAGUCUAUUUUGAUGCUAGUGCUUCAGGAAAGACUAUAUCUUGGCUGGAAAUAUAGCUGAACGGUAUAGGUAUAUAGCAAGAUUAAUUCUCAGUAAAGGACUCAGGGAACAAGUUCAUGAGAACACAUAGAACCAGUAGAGGAAGACAACAGAGAAGGACUGAACGAGAUGGGUCCUGCGCCUAAGAGUGGAACUUAUCAUAAACCCAG